UACAGAGGGGGCAAGCGUUGUUCGGAAUUACUGGGCGUAAAGGGCGCGUAGGCGGCCUGUUAAGUCGAACGUGAAAUCCCCGGGCUCAACCCGGGAACUGCAUCCGAUACUGGAUGGCUUGAAUCCGGGAGAGGGAUGCAGAAUUCCAGGUGUAGCGGUGAAAUGCGUAGAUAUCUGGAGGAAUACCGGUGGCGAAGGCGGCAUCCUGGACCGGCAUUGACGCUGAGGCGCGAAAGCCAGGGGAGCAAAGCGGG
rnacentral:rRNA from 1 species